rnacentral:rRNA from 1 species
CCUCGGAUCAGGUAGGGAUACCCGCUGAACUUAAGCAUAUCAAUAAGCGGAGGAAAAGAAACCAACCGGGAUUGCCUCAGUAACGGCGAGUGAAGCGGCAAGAGCUCAAAUUUGAAAGCUGGCUCCUUCGGGGUCCGCAUUGUAAUUUGCAGAGGAUGCUUCGGGCGCGGCCCCCGUCUAAGUGCCCUGGAACGGGCCGUCGGAGAGGGUGAGAAUCCCGUCUGGGACGGGGUGUCCGUGUCCGUGUGAAGCUCCUUCAACGAGUCGAGUUGUUUGGGAAUGCAGCUCUAAAUGGGUGGUAAAUUUCAUCUAAAGCUAAAUAUUGGCCGGAGACCGAUAGCGCACAAGUAGAGUGAUCGAAAGAUGAAAAGCACUUUGAAAAGAGAGUUAAACAGCACGUGAAAUUGUUGAAAGGGAAGCGCUUGCGACCAGACUCGCUCGCGGGGUUCAGCGGGCCUUCGGGCCCGUGUACUUCCCCGUGGGCGGGCCAGCGUCGGUUUGGGCGGCCGGUCAAAGGCCUCCGGAAUGUAGCACCCUUCGGGGUGCCUUAUAGCCGGGGGUGCAAUGCGGCCUGCCUGGACCGAGGAACGCGCUUCGGCACGGACGCUGGCAUAAUGGUCGUAAGCGACC